rnacentral:rRNA from 1 species
CCUACGGGAGGCAGCAGUCGAGAAUCAUUCACAAUGGGGGAAACCCUGAUGGAGCGACGCCGCGUGGGGGAAUGAAGGUCUUCGGAUUGUAAACACCUGUAAUGUGGGGGCAAAUUAAAAAGAUAGUACCACAAGAGGAAGAGGCGGCUAACUCUGUGCCAGCAGCCGAGGUAAUACAGAGGGCGCAAGCGUUUAUCGGAAUCACUGGGGGUAAAGGGUGCGUAGGCGGUUUCGUAAGUCGUGUGUGAAAGGCGCGGGCUCAACCCGCGAACGGCACAUGAUACUGGGAGACUAGAGUAAUGGAGGGGGAACCAGAAGUCUAGGUGUAGCAGUGAAAUGCGUAGAUAUCGAGAGGAACACUCGUGGCGAAGGCGGGUUCCUGGACAUUAACUGACGCUGAGGCACGAAGGCCAGGGGAGCGAAAGGGAUUAGAUACCCUUGUAGUC